rnacentral:rRNA from 1 species
AUGGUUAUCCCUGCUCCAACUAGGCCGCCUACAAUCACCAAGUUCCUGAUGCCUUAUGUUCUGAAGAUGCACUUCACAAACAAAUUUGUGAGCGCCCAGAUCAUCCACACGCCCCGGGUGACUAUCGCGUGUGCAACGAGCUCACAUGAGAAGAUCUUGAGGCCGGGCAUGGAGUAGAAGCAGGACGUGGCCAAGAUCGGGAAGGUGCUCGGUGAGCGCCUGCUGCAGGGCGUCCCCACAGUGUCUGUCUCCAUGUGGAGAGACCAGACGUACCAUGUCAAGGUCAAGGUUGUCAUCGAUUCUCUCACGGGCGCCAGCGUGAAGCUACUGUGA